GAUGAACGCUGGCGGCGUGCCUAAUACAUGCAAGUCGAGCGAACAGAUGAGGAGCUUGCUCCUCUGACGUUAGCGGCGGACGGGUGAGUAACACGUGGAUAACCUACCUAUAAGACUGGGAUAACUUCGGGAAACCGGAGCUAAUACCGGAUAAUAUAUUGAACCGCAUGGUUCAAUAGUGAAAGACGGUUUUGCUGUCACUUAUAGAUGGAUCCGCGCCGCAUUAGCUAGUUGGUAAGGUAACGGCUUACCAAGGCAACGAUGCGUAGCCGACCUGAGAGGGUGAUAGGCCACACUGGAACUGAGACACGGUCCAGACUCCUGCGGGAGGCAGCAGUAGGGAAUCUUCCGCAAUAGGCGAAAGCCUGACGGAGCAACGCCGCGUGAGUUAUGAAGGUCUUCGGAUCGUAAAACUCUGUUAUUAGGGAAGAACAAAUGUGUAAGUAACUAUGCACGGCUUGACGGUACCUAAUCAGAAAGCCACGGCUAACUACGUG
rnacentral:rRNA from 1 species